rnacentral:rRNA from 1 species
AGCGAACGCUGGCGGCAGGCCUAACACAUGCAAGUCGAGCGCCGUAGCAAUACGGAGCGGCAGACGGGAGAGUAACACGUGGGAACGUACCCUUUGGUUCGGAACAACCCAGGGAAACUUGGGCUAAUACCGAAUAAGCCCUCACGGGGAAAGAUUUAUCGCCGAAGGAUCGGCCCGCGUCUGAUUAGCUAGUUGGUGGGGUAAUGGCCCACCAAGGCGACGAUCAGUAGCUGGUCUGAGAGGAUGAUCAGCCUCACCGGGACUGAGACACGGCCCAGACUCCUACGGGAGGCAGCAGUGGGGAAUAUUGGACAAUGGGCGCAAGCCUGAUCCAGCCAUGCCGCGUGGGUGAUGAAGGCCCUAGGGUUGUAAGGCCCUUUCGGCGGGGAAGAUAAUGACGGUACCCGCAGAAGAAGCCCCGGCUAACUUCGUGCCAGCCGCCGCAGUAA